rnacentral:rRNA from 1 species
GACGAACGCUGGCGGCGUGCUUAACACAUGCAAGUCGAACGGAAAGGCCCUGCUUUUGUGGGGUGCUCGAGUGGCGAACGGGUGAGUAACACGUGAGUAACCUGCCCUUUACUUUGGGAUAACUUCAGGAAACUGGGGCUAAUACCGGAUAGGAGCUCCUGCUGCAUGGUGGGGGUUGGAAAGUUUCGGCGGUUGGGGAUGGACUCGCGGCUUAUCAGCUUGUUGGUGGGGUAGUGGCUUACCAAGGCUUUGACGGGUAGCCGGCCUGAGAGGGUGACCGGAAAAAUGGGGACUGAGAUAAGGACCAGAAUGCUAGGGGAGGCAGCAGUGGGGAAUAUUGCACAAUGGGCGGAAGCCUGAUGCAGAAACGCCGCGUGCGGGAUGACGGCCUUCGGGUUGUAAAACGCUUUAGCCUGUGACGAAGCGUGAGUGACGGUAAUGGGUAAAGAAGCACCGGCUAACUACGUG